rnacentral:ncRNA from 1 species
GGCAGAGUAGACGAUUGUGCGUUAAGUGCCAGCAGGACGGGAAGUUGCCUCUGGACGAAAAGCGUAAGCUUGCGGUACAACCGUUGCAUUCCGCUGCC